AGGCAAAGCUAGGCUAGGUCUUGGAGGCUGGUGUGAGGCGGUGCGGGUAAGGCAGGAGGCUGCUGGAAGACACUGGUGGAAGAAAAGCCGAAAUGGAUUCUCCGUGCCUUGGAUGGAGGAAGAGGGGGGAAGUGCGAGCUCCUUCAACUCUUUCGGUCCGGUGAGGAGUGAUCCAGCUUGGGCUGACAAGAGUCUCCGGGAGCCCUCUCGUUCAGUGCUUUUUUACCUGCCAAUCAAACUGCUACAAGACAACACCCUGAUCUGGCAUGGACCC
ensembl:misc_RNA